rnacentral:rRNA from 1 species
GACGAACGCUGGCGGCGUGCUUAACACAUGCAAGUCGAACGGAAAGGCCCUGCUUUUGUGGGGUGCUCGAGUGGCGAACGGGUGAGUAACACGUGAGUAACCUGCCCUUGACUUUGGGAUAACUUCAGGAAACUGGGGCUAAUACCGGAUAGGAGCUCCUGCUGCAUGGUGGGGGUUGGAAAGUUUCGGCGGUUGGGGAUGGACUCGCGGCUUAUCAGCUUGUUGGUGGGGUAGUGGCUUACCAAGGCUUUGACGGGUAGCCGGCCUGAGAGGGUGACCGGACACAUUGGGACUGAGAUACGGCCCAGACUCCUACGGGAGGCAGCAGUGGGGAAUAUUGCACAAUGGGCGGAAGCCUGAUGCAGCAACGCCGCGUGCGGGAUGACGGCCUUCGGGUGGUAAACCGCUUUCGCCUGUGACGAAGCGUGAGUGACGGUAAUGGGUAAAGAAGCACCGGAUAACUACGUG